rnacentral:misc_RNA from 1 species
UUCCUUGCCAGCUGAGGGUAGCAGCA